GUCCACGCCCUAAACGAUGUCAACUGGUUGUUGGGUCUUCACUGACUCAGUAACGAAGCUAACGCGUGAAGUUGACCGCCUGGGGAGUACGCCGCAAGGUUGAACUCAAGGAAUUGACGGGGACCCGCACAAGCGGUGGAUGAUGUGGUUUAAUUCGAUGCAACGCGAAAACCUUAACCUACCCUUGACAUGUCUGGAAUCUUUUAGUAGAUAGAAGAGUGCCCGAAAGGGAGCCAGAACACAGGUGCUGCAUGGCUGUCGU
rnacentral:rRNA from 1 species